CAGAGCAGAUGCUUGCCAGCUCUCUCGCUUUCAAAAGGCAGCUGAGGAGCCUUAGGCCUAUGGAGCUUGCCCAGAAGGGUGCUUACAGUGGGGAGCUCUCCUAACCCGGGCAGGCCCAGUCCCUCAGCAGCUUGUCCUUCGCGGCGCCAGGGGCCUCUCUCCACAGCAACUGUCCAGGCGGGGGAGAACUCUAAGGCGGGAGCCCAAGGUGUUGUUCCUGAGAUGUUUGUCUUUGUCCUCCUGAAGGUCUCCUUUUCUGUGAACAUGAGAAGAGCAAACAAAAUACAUUCAGCAGCUGCAGAGAGCAACAGAGGAGCCGGUAUUUCCUCCGGUGAAUAAAAUCAAUUGCAUCUUCAGAAGAGGUGUUUCCUUAAAACAAAGAAGAAAACAGGAGAGAGAACAGCCACCGCUGCCCCUUCCCCCCCAGCCCCCCCGCCCUGGCCGCGGCCGUGUGCCGGCGUUCGUGUGUCGGCUGUAGGUGUCACUGCGCUCAUGGCUUUGGGGUCAGGUGCCUGGGAUGUCAUUGCAACCAUUGAGCUGUCCACAUUAUUGAACGAGUCGGCGUUCAGAUGUUCAGCAUGCAUGGGACAUUGUCUGCUGGGCUGUUUGAGGCGCUGGCAGCAGAAGGUGACAUCUGGUGACUAAUGGGCUCAGAUGUGAAAGCCGUUCCCACAGUUCCGUGGGCUGCAGCUGCUCUGCCACCGCGCAAGAUGCAGGAAACGGGGAGAGAAGAGUAUCGCUAGGAGAAAUCAAUGCCUUCUGAUUUCAGAUGAAGUAUAUAACAUGGCCCCGGCUGCAGACAUUUUCCAGCCAGGGUCUUCUGAUAAAUGACAGCAGGACGCAAGCACGGCACUCUGUCUUGUCUCCAUUUACUUACCUCAACCGAUCAACUUCUAACGGAAUGGCUCCACCUUAGGAAACAAAGAUGGACCCUUUCCAGCCAAAGUCUAGCCUCUGCUCCUUAUUUUAUCAGGCAUCGCUCUGUCAAGAGCCAAACCACUCUGGUUUUGGUCUAAGCUCGGCUCCUCAUCCUCUCCCUGUAAUGCUUUUAAAAGGGAACCAGAGCUCUGGCUGUUUUCGCACAGGCAGGUAUGUGUGAGGAGAAACUCAUCUGUCAUUUAAACUCUCUGAAACAAAGACUAAGCCAGAACGUGGUGCCCACAUAUUUCAUGUUUGAUCCACUGAUCAGAUGUGAUUUGUCAAAUUCUUUGAAAUGGCAGGGAGGAGCCACAGGAAGAGCUCGGUGCUGCAGAUGGUAAAAACUCUGUUAUUAGCAGAUGACAGCACAAACCACCGAGUGGAAAAGCACAGAUAAAUUCAUGGCUGGAAGUUAUUGUUUACAGCAGCAAAAGGAUUAAAGCGGGGCUUUGUCAUGUGUGGGGGGAAGGGAGCUGGGAGGUGAGAAAGGAGCAUUCCUUAGUUCUUGUGCCCUUCCACUACAAGAAAAUCAGCGUGAUGGGUGUUAGGGAGUCACUAAAAAAAAGCUGACAGGAGACAGGAAAAGCAAGGACCUGAAAAGAGAGAGCUGUUUUGCUGUGCACGCACAGAUAAUCACAUGAUCUUCCAUCAUCCGAGCCUCUAGUGUGACGGAGGGAGGAUAGUCACACGCAUCAGCCUCAUAAAAUCUGCAAAAGCACUGCUCUUAAUUCAGCCAUCGGCUGCUUCCAGACCUCACGCAGGGAAUUACAACGAAAUUCUAUUUGCAGACUGACAUCCCUAAUGCUGCUGUGUCCUUAUGUUUACUUCAGUUAACUGUCAGCCCUUAUAAAGUGCACUGCGCUACAGCUGCUGCUGUGGAAAAGAAAACCCUCAGAGUAGCUGCUUUGGGGGAGGUAUUUGAGGGAAACAUAAAUAGAAGAAGCAGGAGGCAAAAAGAAACGAAAUAAAAUCUACUGGUGUAUCUGCACAAUGCGAGACUCAAAGCAGAGAUCAUUCAACCCUUGGUUUCCAUGCAAUUCUUGGGUUUUAGUCUUUGCUGAUAAAAUAUUUAACAGCCAUCUUAGCACUCAGCAUAGCAAUAACCUAAGAACAUCCCAGUUCUCAGCCCCCAUUGAGACAGAAUUCCAGUGAUGUGAAGUUCUCUCU